rnacentral:rRNA from 1 species
CGAACGAGAAAGGGGCUUAGGCCCUGAGUAUAGUGGCGCACGGGUGAGUAACACGUGAAUAAUCUACCUCCGAGUGGGGAAUAACUGAGAGAAAUCUUAGCUGAAUACCGCAUAACACUUACGAGUCAAAGCAGCAAUGCGCUUGGAGAGGAGUUCGCGGCCGAUUAGUUAGUUGGCGGGGUAAUGGCCCACCAAGACGAUGAUCGGUAUCCGGCCUGAGAGGGCGCACGGACACACUGGAACUGAAACACGGUCCAGACUCCUACGGGAGGCAGCAGUGGGGAAUCUUGCACAAUGGAGGAAACUCUGAUGCAGCGACGCCGCGUGAGCGAUGAAGCCCUUCGGGGUGUAAAGCUCUUUCGACGGGAACGAUAAUGACGGUACCCGAAGAAGAAGCUGCGGCUAACUACGUGCCAGCAGCCGCGGUAAGACAGAGGGUGCGAACGUUGCUCGGAACUACUGGGCGUAAAGCGCGUGCAGGUUGGCUCUCCACGUCCGGUGUGAAAGCCCGGGGCUCAACCCCGGAAGCGCGCUGGAUACGAGGGAGCUUGAGGGCUGGAGAGGCAGGCGGAAAUUCCCGGUGUAGAGGUGAAAUUCGUAGAUUUCGGGGAGGAACACCGGUGGCGAAGGCGGGCCUGCUGGGACAGCACCUUGGACACUGGGACGCGAAAGCCGUGGGUUGCGGAACGGAUUGAUUCCCUGGGUUGUCCACGCCGGUAAAC